UCUCCCAAAUUCCGUCUACGCCCUACCUCGCCGACGGCCAGUGCCUUGCCAGAACCCUCGAUAGUCUCCUUCCGUGCGUCCGAGGUGGUGGUGCACACAAGAGAGACGGCACACGAAAGGUGCUCAUGGAGGUCACGACCGACGUAAGAUAGGGGAAAGGAGCAUUGCAGCCGCACUUGGCCGGCAACAGACUAUGCGCGCGGCGGGAGGUGGCCAAUUUUCACUGCUGGCUAACCUAUCCGGCUCGCCCCAUGGAGGUGGACAGCCAUUGGGACUUGGGAGGUCACGGCGGGGCUUCAACGUUCUUGCCUCUGGACGGACCGGACGAUCAUCCGUGGCUUUUAUGGCUCCGCUGCCUGGAGGCGUUCGUCACCGGGCGAGGUCGGCCUUGCUCCCAUUGCUGCUGUCCAUGGCGGCCGAGAUGGACAUGGCAAACUGCGGCUAUGUCGCAUCCUUGCCGCGGUGAGAUGAGCCGAGGCGAGGAAGGUGGAGCGCACGGGAGCACGUGAGGGGAGGAGAUGAUGAAACAGCCGACCUACUGCAUGCGUGGGGCAGGAGAUGGGGCCGGAGAACCAAAGUAGCAUCAAGAAUAAUAGAUCCUUUCCUACAGCUGGGCGACUAUUUCGUCAGACGCAAGAGCUUCCGCGCUUGGCCGAACACCGAGGCUCCUCGACUCUGCGGAGGUGUUCAAUAAUCAAGACCCACGCAUACUAUGAUUUGGGCAUCGGUGUCCCGCAGACCGGCACCAUCAGCUUCCCGCAAUCAUGCCUUCAACGAGCCAUUCGUGUCCGACACCCUGUUCCUUGCAAUCGGUGAGUUCAGCAUACAAUCUUCAGAUUAACCAGCUUCUAUGUUCUGAUGUUCUAGACAAACAAUGACAAUGAUGACUUUUUGUUCUUAGUACUAACUAACGUUUCACCGAACAAAAAUACUGUUUUUGCUUCUUGAAAGUUCUUUCUGGUUGUUUUCAGUCUUGGGUACAUGAGGAUCUCAUGUCACAAUCUGAAAAGUGUGUCAAUUAAUUUAUGCUAAUUCUUCACCCCCGCUGAGUAAGAUGUAGUCAUUGGUGGCGCGUAUUGGGUACAACUUUGGCGAGGGAUUCCCAAAAUGUACUUGUAGGACUCCUGUUAUGUUUUGAUUUAGCUUGCAUUGAUUAUUUUGUGCAGGUGUAGUCUGAUAUGUACUCCAGUUUUUGUUGUCAAGGUUUGUACUGCUCCAGUUUUUGCUGUGAAAAUACAGAGAACAAUACAGGGCUGGGCUGCUGCCCCCCCAUCAGAUUGCGGCCCUUGCCAGAUACGGCAUAGUUCAGCAACUUGAUAUGCUUAGCUUAUCCCAGAAUUUACAACCAAAGCAUAACAAAACUGUCGUCUUUUUGCAGGAAAAAGAGAUAGCACAGCUCCUGUUGGCGUGUGACCCACCCUCUGUCCAUCGUUUCUCCUCUCUCGGAGUGCCGAUGGCUCAUGUCUUCUAGCAGCCAAGAUCUGGACAAAUUGUGAUGGUCGUUUAUCUCCUGUUUGCGUGAAGUCAUCAUAUGGAUGUGUUUCUUAAUCUAGAAAUAUUUUGCUUGAGGUGUUGCUGCUGAAGAAUUAAGACUUAACUGUAUCAAGUUUGAUUUGUGGAUAGGCGACAUUCUACAUUGUACUUUGUGUAGGAACAAUAUGUUGUACAUCUAGAUUGUGAGCCCAAUUGACUUUUGACUACAUUGAAUUGGAGAAG